rnacentral:rRNA from 1 species
UUGGAGGGCAAGUCUGGUGCCAGCAGCCGCGGUAAUUCCAGCUCCAGUAGCGUAUAUUAAAGUUGUUGCAGUUAAAAAGCUCGUAGUUGAAUUUCGGGAUCAAUUAGUCGGUUGUGCCUCUGGUACGUACUGGUUUUAUUGGUUCCUCCCUUCUGACGAAACAUGAUGUCAUUAAUUUGGUGUCGUGGAGAAUCAGGACUGUUACCUUGAAAAAAUUAGAGUGUUUAUAGCAGGCUAACGCUUGAAUACAUUAGCAUGGAAUAAUGAAAUAGGACGUUCGACCCUAUUUUGUUGGUUUCUAGGAUCGACGUAAUGAUUAAUAGGGAUAGUUGGGGGCAUUAGUAUUCAAUUGUCAGAGGUGAAAUUCUUGGAUUUAUUGAAGACUAACUACUGCGAAAGCAUUUGCCAAGGAUGUUUUCAUUAAUCAAGAACGAAAGUUAGGGGAUCGAAGACGAUCAGAUACCGUCGUAGUCUUAACCAUAAACUAUGCCGACUAGGGACCGGAUGAUGUUAAUUUUUUAAUGACUCAUUCGGCGCCUUACGGGAAAC